rnacentral:lncRNA from 10 species
UCAUUAACUAUUCCCGAUAAAUUGACAAAAUCAAGCUCACAGUGGUAGACAGCUGAUUCUCAGUGGAAAAGGACAAAGGAUCCGUCAGACAUGUCUGGUGAUACUGUAAAUCAGCAUAACCUUUGAUGGGACACAGUCACGCAAAAUGUGACAACCAUAAAAUUCUGACCAGCAAUUCCACUUUUGAAAACAGCCCCAAAGAGACAGGACAAAGAUGAUUUGUGGCUGCCCAUGAGGAACGACCAAAAUGACCAGCAUUUCCAAAUUCGGCUCUCAACUUGCCUGCUCUUCCCUCCCAUCUCCUCACCUAUAUGCUUUCCAGGAAGGUUGGUGAACAGAGAGCAGGAUGGCAGGGCACUAGGCACUGCCCUUUCAUUUGGCUUCCUCCAGCUUUUGGCAGAUGUCAUUUCUCUCUGAUGUAAGGUAAACGUGAGGGAGAGGUACCUAAGGCUUGAAGGAAAUACUCACUGAAUGACAAUGUCUUGAAAUUUAUGCUGGUCCCGUUGGUUCCCCCAGCACUGGUGCUGGCCAUGACCUGAACAAUGUAAGAGGUCUUUCGUUUCAG